GAAUGAAGAACGUAGCGAAAUGCGAUACUUGGUGUGAAUUGCAGAAUCCCGUGAACCAUCGAGUCUUUGAACGCAAGUUGCGCCCGAAGCCAUUAGGCCGAGGGCACGCCUGCCUGGGCGUCACACGUCGUUGCCCCCCCAUCUACUCCUUCGGGAUUGCGGGGGGCGGAUGAUGGCCUCCCGUGCGCCUCGUCGCGCGGUUGGCCUAAAUGCCAAGUCCUCGGCGACGCACGCCACGACAAUCGGUGGUUGCGAAACCUCGGUUGCCCGUCGUGUGCGGUCGUCGCGCAUCGAGGGCUCGAAAAAAUUGCCGGGCUUCGGCUCGACUUUCAACGCGACCCCAGGUCAGGCGGGGUUACCCGCUGAAUUUAAGCAUAUCAAUAAGCGGAGGA
rnacentral:misc_RNA from 1 species